CAUCAAACAUAAAUGUUUUAAGAUUGUAAAUAUGUGGUUUUUAUUGUAUUCCAGGGCAGGCUUUCUAUUUUAAAAGUCUGUACAAAAACCACGCCAAUAGGUCCUGAUGUUUCCUUAGAAAACCUAGCAGCAGAAACCUCUUUCUUCUCUGGAGCUGAUCUUAGAAACCUUUGCAAAGAAGCUGCCUUACUUGCUCUACAGGAAAAUGGACUAGAAGCAGCCACAGUGAAACAAGAGCACUUCCUACAAUCACUUAGGACUAUGAAACCAUCCUUAAGUCAGAAGUACUUGACCUUGUAUGAAAACUUAUUUAAGAAAGAAUUUUCCAAUUUGGAAGCUCCUUAAAAAUUACCCUUUAUGUAGUUCACAUGAAUUGGAAUGUGAACUUGCUGGUAGUUUGCAACUUCACACUUUUAGAGUCUGUGUAUUAAGAGAGACCGACAGAGACUUGGCUUGACAAGCUAAGGAUCAUCUUAUUUCCAGAAGGUAUAUUAAAAUACUGUAAGAAAUAUAUGUGUAUGGUUUUGUUAGGGUAAUUGUUUUUAGUUUAUUUUUUGUAACUUUGAAAUAAUUUCAUGGUCACAGAAAAGUUGCAAGAAUAGGAGGAAGAACUCUUGACAUUCUCUAACCCAGAUUCACCAAUCUUUAGUAUUUUGUCACAUUUGUUUUCUCCCCCUCCUCUACACACACAACUUCUGAACACUUUGAGAGUCUAAUAGAUGUGUGAGAAAUGUAUCAUCAGGCAGCUUUGUUAUGAGCAUCAUAGAGUAGUUUGGUUAUUCAGAGAUAGCCACAGCAUCGGGAGACGAUACCAUACUAGGGGCUUGCUGUCUUAUGCGCUUGUCGUGGACUGAAGCAUGCCAGUCUUUGUGACUAUGUGCAUCACGCUCCAGCACUGCCGCAGUAGUCAGUGUGUGUCUUACAAAUAAAGUUGUCUUAUUUUACAGUUUACUGACCAAACUCAGGAAGUUGACAUGCUAUUGUAAUAUAUCAUCCAAUGACUUUCAUUCUGUCCCAGUGACGGCCUGUAUAGUAAAUUUUUUCCACCAGAGGGCCCAGUCUAGGAUUACACAUCAAAUUGAGUUGUCCCCUGUCUUUGGCUUCUUAACUUGACAGUUCUUCACUCAGUCCUUCUGGACUGUGACAUCUUUGAAAAGUGUAGACCAGUUACUUUGUAUCACAGUCGAUCCUGGGUUUGUGUUUGUCAGAGGAUUCUUUGUUAGGUUUUGCAUCACUGAUGGAAUAUUCAUGGGUGGCUCUCUUCCUUAGUAUCCCAGCUGGAGACAGGUGCUGUCUACAUUGUUGGCGAUUCUAAUUUUGAUCACUAUUUAUUAUAUUGUAUGGUGUAUACUUUUUUUAACCUUUCAUAAUUAUAAGUAAUUUUUAAGGCAUAGAUUUGUUUGUUUGUUUUUUCCUUUACAGAAGCAAUUACAAACUGAAAAUCUUGGUAUUUAGCCUUCUAGUCCUUAAUGGACAUAUAGAUACUUGUGUUUAAACCAAAAGAUAAUGCUGCUGCAAGACUUUUAUGUAUUUUCCUCAGCAAGUAGCUGGUAAACAUCUCAUUAGACCAUUCAUGGUGGUGUCUAGGUGCUGGAAGGUACAGUGAAUGAGGCAGACAUGGCACAGACAUCACACAAAUCAGUGGAUUCAGUGAUGGUGGGAAGUACUUCACAGAAGUGUGGGGUGCCAGGACAACACGGGACCCAGAAGCUGGUGGAGGGUGCCUAGGUCUGGCUACAGAUUACUUAGGGAAAGAUUUGCACAGUUUACAGGUGUGAAAUAAAAUUCUAACCACUAACUCUGAUUUUGAGUAAAGGGAAAAUCCUUAAACACUUAUUAGGGUUUUGAUUAUUCAUGUUCCUGCCGUACUAUACCUGGUAAACCCCAGUGCAAGCCCCUUCACUUCUGUGAACCUCUUGUUUUAUCCUUGAAAACCUUGCUAGUAGUCAAGCUGGAAAUAAAUUUACCCACACUGACUCAGGCUGAAUUGAUUUGAAAAUACCUUUGAAAUGGUAAUUAUAACAAAUACUAUAAUACAUUUUAUAUUAAAAUUAUGUAAUAUAAUGAAAUAUGGCCAUUGUAUUCAUUAUCAUUCUAAUUUAGUUCUGUGUUCUCAGUAGAACUUUGGAAGCCUUUGGAGACCAUGUUUUUGCUGUCACUGAAAAUGUCCAAUAAAUGGAAAAA
rnacentral:lncRNA from 1 species